rnacentral:rRNA from 1 species
UACGUAGGGCGCAAGCGUUGUCCGGAAUUAUUGGGCGUAAAGAGCUCGUAGGCGGCUUGUCACGUCGGAUGUGAAAGCCCGGGGCUUAACUCCGGGUCUGCAUUCGAUACGGGCUGGCUAGAGUGUGGUAGGGGAGAUCGGAAUUCCUGGUGUAGCGGUGAAAUGCGCAGAUAUCAGGAGGAACACCGGUGGCGAAGGCGGAUCUCUGGGCCAUUACUGACGCUGAGGAGCGAAAGCGUGGGGGGCGAACAGG